rnacentral:lncRNA from 1 species
CCUUGCACCGCAAUUGUUCCAUUCCAUCUCACUUCACCUUGCCUUCACCGUAUAUGAAAGUGGGCCAAGGAAACAAAAAUACCCGAUGGGACAGGAAACAUGAAUGGCUACCCCAACCUUGAUUUGCUCCGUUGCCAUCCCUGACAACAAGGUGUAAUAUUGGUAGAACAUCGACAUGUCAUCUUGCUACAAAGUAAAGAUACACAUUGAGAUUCUCUUUUCAUCAUCCCCCAAUUUACAUGAACUCUAGCUGUGUGUGUUCG